CGCCCCUCCCACCGCUGCGAUCUGCUUCGCCGGACCACUACGUCCCCUUCCCCCGCCGCGAUCUGCCCCCCCAUUUCCACACCGGUUCUUUCUCCCCCAAAAUUCCCAAAUCCUAAUUUCACAGACUCUCCCUCCCCCGUGUCGAUUCGCCGUCCCAAGUCAGCGCCGCCGCCCCUUCUCCUUUCCCCGUUUCAACACCAGAGUCUCCCUCCCUCGCUUCAAUUCACCGCAGUCCGGCCCCAAGUCAGUGUCGCCGCCCCUUCCUCCCGUUUCAACACCUAGCUCUCUCUUCCCGAAACAGCCCUACCCCCAAGUCGACGCUGCCGCCAAUGGCUGCCUUGCGUUUGGCACCACCGCCGUCAAUCCGUCGGACAUUACUUGGCUCCGAAACAGUUCUUGAUUAGCCAUGGGGCGCUGCUGCUGUACCGAGUCAGGAAAAGGGGGGAUUCCUUGGUGUAGUGUGUGUGUUGUUGGCUGAGUAGUCGAAUCAGGGGCAGAGGGCGGAGAUGGUGGCAGCGUAUGGCUGCUGCUAUCGGCCAGAGUGAGCAGAGGAUAGAGGGAGAAGAAGGAUGCCAACGCCGAGAAGCAGCAAUGCCCCUCCCUCUCAAGCCUUGACGGGUAUUCGAUGGGUAGCGGAUGGCGGGUAUCCGACGAAUAGGAGAUUGGUGGAUACUCUACGGGUGACGGGUAUCCGCGGGUCAUGGGUAUGGGUGACAAAUAGUAGUGCACAAGAAUUUGAAAUUUUCUUUAAAAUUUGCUACAGUUUCGUGGUGAUUUAUUUGUUGGGUGAUUGAUUGCAAGAUGUCAAUGCAGAGAAGCAGCAGUGCCCCUACCUUUCAAAUCUCGGCGAGUAUCCGACGAGUAGUGGGUGACGGGUAUCCGACGGGUAGCGGGUGGUGGAUACCCAACGGGUGGCGGGUAUCCGCGGGUCACGGGUAUGGGUGGCAAAUAAUAGUGGGUGAUAAAUAAUUUUUUCGAAUAUACGUUUCCCUGAGCCAUGUUAGGGACAAAAGUCUUAUUUAAUUUAUUUUUUUUAUUUUAGUUUGAUAUGUAACGUAGACGUAUGUCAUGUUAACACUUAUU